rnacentral:rRNA from 1 species
UACGUAGGGUGCAAGCGUUGUCCGGAAUUAUUGGGCGUAAAGAGCUCGUAGGCGGUCUGUCGCGUCUGGUGUGAAAAUCCAGGGCUUAACCCUGGACCUGCAUCGGAUACGGGCAGACUAGAGUGCGGUAGGGGAGAUCGGAAUUCCUGGUGUAGCGGUGAAAUGCGCAGAUAUCAGGAGGAACACCGGUGGCGAAGGCGGAUCUCUGGGCCGUAACUGACGCUGAGGAGCGAAAGCAUGGGGAGCGAACAGG